UACGUAGGGAGCAAGCGUUGUCCGGAAUCAUUGGGCGUAAAGCGCGCGUAGGUGGCCUCAUAAGUCCGUUGUGAAAGUCAAAGGCUCAACCUUUGAAAGCCGAUGGAUACUGUGAGACUAGAGUACGGAAGAGGCGAGUGGAAUUCCUGGUGUAGCGGUGGAAUGCGCAGAUAUCAGGAGGAACACCAAUAGCGAAGGCAGCUCGCUGGGACGGUACUGACGCUAAGGCGCGAAAGCGUGGGGAGCAAACAGG
rnacentral:rRNA from 1 species